rnacentral:rRNA from 1 species
GAUGAACGCUAGCGGCGGGCUUAAUACAUGCAAGUCGAGGGGUGGUAGCAAUACUACACCGGCGCACGGGUGCGUAACGCGUAUGCAAUCAACCUUUAUCUGGGGGAUAGCCCGGGGAAACCCGGAUUAAUACCGCAUAACAAAUUGAUUGGCAUCAAUUGAUUUUAAAAGAUUUAUCGGACAGAGAUGAGCAUGCGUAAGAUUAGAUAGUUGGCGGGGUAACGGCUCACCAAGUCUACGAUCUUUAGGGGCUCUGAGAGGAGAAUCCCCCACACUGGCACUGAGAUACGGGCCAGACUCCUACGGGAGGCAGCAGUAGGGAAUAUUGGGCAAUGGGCGCAAGCCUGACCCAGCCACGCCGCGUGCAGGAAGAAGGCCCUCUGGGUUGUAAAGCCCUUUUGUUGGGAAAGAAAUCCUGUCGAUUAAUACUCGGUGGGGAUGACGGUACCCAAAGAAUAAGCACCGGCUAACUUCGUGCCAGCAGCCGCCGUAAUAC